ACGGAGGGGGCUAGCGUUGUUCGGAAUUACUGGGCGUAAAGCGCACGUAGGCGGACCUGCAAGUUGGGGGUGAAAUCCCGAGGCUCAACCUCGGAACUGCCUUCAAAACUGCUGGUCUUGAGUUCGAGAGAGGUGAGUGGAAUUCCGAGUGUAGAGGUGAAAUUCGUAGAUAUUCGGAGGAACACCAGUGGCGAAGGCGGCUCACUGGCUCGAUACUGACGCUGAGGUGCGAAAGCGUGGGGAGCAAACAG
rnacentral:rRNA from 1 species